rnacentral:rRNA from 1 species
ACAGAGACUGCAAGCGUUAUUCGGAUUCACUGGGCGUAAAGGGUGCGCAGGCGGUCGGGUGUGUCAGAUGUGAAAUCCCGAGGCUCAACCUCGGAACUGCGUCUGAAACUACUCGACUAGAGUACUGGAGAGGGUAACGGAAUUCACGGUGUAGCAGUGAAAUGCGUAGAUAUCGUGAGGAACACCAGAGGCGAAGGCGGUUACCUGGACAGAUACUGACACUCAACUGCGAAAGCGUGGGGAGCAAACAGGA